GGGUUGUCUAAAAUGACAGACACCGUGACUGAUGACCUGACCAAAAGUGAAGACGCUACCUCUGACUCUUCAGUGGGGAAGCAGGAGGAAGAAAUGGACGACGCCCUUGGUUUUGACGACGAGGCAGCUGAGAUGGAAGAAGCUCCUGCAGACACUCCAGAGCCUGCUGAGUUUGAAGAGGAAGUGACUGA